AUCAUGUGACCUUUGCUUAGGCUCUGACUCUCUCUCUCUCUCUCUCUCUGAUAAAAGCCCAUCAAGAAACCUGUCUUCCCAACCAUUCCAACCACCAAAGGCCCAAGAAAGAUUUAAUCUUUUUACUGUUUGAUUCUCUUUUUUGUACUAAUUCAUUGUUUUCUUUUCAUUUGAGGGGUUUUUUAUUUUUUCUUUGAUAGUGUGUGUUCUGUGUGUGUUGUGAUGCUACAAUGGCUGCAAGUGCUUCAAGAUUCAUCAAGUGUGUGACUGUGGGUGAUGGGGCUGUUGGCAAGACUUGUAUGCUCAUAUGCUAUACAAGCAACAAGUUUCCUACUGACUAUAUACCAACAGUUUUUGAUAACUUCAGUGCAAAUGUGGUGGUUGAAGGAACUACAGUCAACUUAGGCCUUUGGGACACAGCUGGUCAGGAAGAUUACAAUAGAUUAAGGCCCUUGAGCUACAGAGGAGCGGAUGUGUUCGUCUUGGCAUUUUCAUUAGUCAGUCGUGCAAGCUACGAAAACAUAGUUAAAAAGUGGAUCCCUGAACUUCAGCACUUUGCUCCUGGGAUUCCCGUUGUGCUAGUCGGCACCAAACUAGAUCUUCGCGAGGAUAAACGCUACUUGGCUGAUCAUCCUGGACUAGUUCCUGUUACUACAGCUCAGGGGGAGGAGCUCCGCAAACACAUUGGUGCGUCUUACUACAUCGAAUGCAGUUCCAAAACCCAACAGACAGCUUUCAAGCUGGAUCUGUCUGAUGAUGAUGCAAUGAUUUCUGCCCCUUUAAUGAGAUAUGCAGAACGUGAAAGCCGUUUUUGACGCUGCGAUCAGGGUAGUCAUCAAGCCACCACAAAAGCAAAGGGAGGAGAAAAGGGCACGUCGAGGAUGUUUUGUGAAAAUCUUCUGCGGAAGAAGAACCGCCUGUCUGGAGUGAAAUCCAUCAUUAAGAAGGUCUUGAUCUUGUUCAAUUUGCUGACACAAUUGUGCUUGUUAUAUUUUUAAGGUUGAUCACAUGUUCCCCAACUGAAUAACCUCGGAUCAUGCUUUACUGUUGGAAAAACAUGUCUGUUAACUGGAAUAGGGAUGGAGGAACAAUUCUUGGCUAUAGUAUUCACUUUAUUUCUACAUUUGCUUGUCUUGUACGAUGCAAGGAAACAGUUUACAAUGUGAUUGGUAGAAUUCCACCAAAGAUAUU